rnacentral:rRNA from 1 species
UGGGGAAUAUUGCACAAUGGGCGCAAGCCUGAUGCAGCCAUGCCGCGUGUGUGAAGAAGGCCUUCGGGUUGUAAAGCACUUUCAGCGAGGAGGAAGGUGGUGAGCUUAAUACGCUCAUCAAUUGACGUUACUCGCAGAAGAAGCACCGGCUAACUCCGUGCCAGCAGCCGCGGUAAUACGGAGGGUGCAAGCGUUAAUCGGAAUUACUGGGCGUAAAGCGCACGCAGGCGGUUUGUUAAGUCAGAUGUGAAAUCCCCGGGCUCAACCUGGGAACUGCAUUUGAAACUGGCAAGCUAGAGUCUCGUAGAGGGGGGCUAGAAUUCCAGGUGUAGCGGUGAAAUGCGUAGAGAUCUGGAGGAAUACCGGUGGCGAAGGCGGCCCCCCUGGACGAAGACUGACGCUCAGGUGCGAAAGCGUGGGGCAGCAAACAGGAUUAGAUACCCUGGUAGUCCA